UCAUGUAUUAUUUUUUACCCCAAAAUUAUGGUCGACCGAUUAUGUAACCCGUUGAUUAUAUAAAAAAAACUUCAUUUAUACCAACAAAUAAAUUUACAAUUUGAAUCUUGUUAUUAUAAAUCAAUUAGUACCCAACAAAAAAAUCGAAAAACACAAUCAUUAACAUCAUCAUCAGUAUACAUCAGAAGAAACGCAUAUCUUUUAUAUAAAAAUAUAUAAUUACAUGCUACUAAACGUGACUAUAUAUAAUUACAUGUAUAUGACAAUAUGUGACUAUAUAUGACUACAUGUAUAUGACCAUAUGUGACUAUAUAUGACUACAUGUAUAUGACCAUAUGUGACUAUAUAUGACUACAUGUAUAUGAUCAUAUGUGACUAUAUAUAACUACAUGUGACUAACUAUAUGAGUAUAGUCAUGUAUAGUAUAAUUUUGAAUUUAUAGCUUCAAAUCUCACUUUUCAACCCGACAACAACUCCGAUCUAUCGAAACUAGAACACUAAAAGCAGGCUCGGUUCGAUCCCAAACCAAAUAAAACGUAAAAUAAAUAAAAAAAAAGGAGAAAAUCCACCCCCUAUGAAACCCUUCCCCGUCGCCACACCUGGCCACCGCAAGCUCCUCGUCGACCGCUCAAAACUGUUACACAUAAAAUACUAAUACUAUCAAAUUCAUUCGCCAUUGAAUCCUAUAAUGUUGACUUCAUAAAUAUUAAUAAUUAAAAGAAAUGUCAAGGCUCACAAUCCACUCUCUCCAACACACACACAGGCGAUGGAAGAGGCGCGGCGGCGGAGAUUACGCAGGUGAUGGGCAAGCGGCGAUGGGAGGCAAGAGAUAAAGAGAAAAUGAUGGAAUAUCUCUGCGCCUUAUUCUUAGCAUCUCAUAAUGUUAUACAAAGCAAAACCUGUGACAAAAAGAAAUACAAGUUAAAGAGCAAAGUGGAACAUGCGAGUUAGAUUAUAUGAAAAAUACAAAAAAA
rnacentral:lncRNA from 1 species